CUUUGAUGAUCUCUCUUGGAGGAAUCACAUGCUUCUGAGAACACUUUGCCUUCACUGUGUAAGGGAGGAUAUUCUGAGACACUACAUUAAAGUUGCAGAGCACCCUUCAAGUGUUACACAUUUCUAUAGAUCACCUCUCACACUGAUGUUCAGAAAACCCAUUUUGGGGGUCAGCAACUUUGGGGUUGGCCAUGCACCCCCUCCUCUCUCCCAUCACUCUGAAAGCCCUAUCUGAGCUCUACCACAAUCUCCAGUUGCAUCUCCACCUGCUGUGGAAUGGAAGAAUGGUGGUUCAGCAUGCAGAAAAGUAGCAGGAUUUCACUUAUGAACUCCAGAUAAACUUCACUUUUCUGAAGCUGAUGAAUGAUGUGUAGAAGUUUCAGCUUCCCAAACAAGUUCCCACCACCAUUUUGGCUUUUUGUAGUCG